rnacentral:rRNA from 1 species
AGCUUGAUUAUGGCUCAGGAUGAACGCUAGCGACAGGCUAACACAUGCAAGUCGAGGGGCAGCACGGGAGUAGCAAUACAACUGGUGGCGACCGGCGCACGGGUGAGUAACGCGUAUGCAACCUACCUAUCAGAGGGGAAUAACCCGGCGAAAGUCGGACUAAUACCGCAUAAAACAGGGGCACCGCAUGGUGAUAUUUGUUAAAGAGAUUCGCUGAUAGAUGGGCAUGCGUUCCAUUAGGUAGUUGGUGAGGUAACGGCUCACCAAGCAGACGAUGGAUAGGGAACUGAGAGGUUGGUCCCCCACACUGGUACUGAGACACGGACCAGACUCCUACGGGAGGCAGCAGUGAGGAAUAUUGGUCAAUGGGCGGGAGCCUGAACCAGCCAAGUCGCGUGAAGGAAGAAGGAUCUAUGGUUCGUAAACUUCUUUUGCAGGGGAAUAAAGUGCAGGACGUGUCCUGUUUUGUAUGUACCCUGAGAAUAAGGAUCGGCUAACUCCGUGCCAGCCGCCGC